UGCCAGCCGCCGCGGUAAAACGUAGGAGGCGAGCGUUAUCCGGAUUUACUGGGCGUAAAGCGCACGCAGGUGGCUUUGCAAGUCGGACAUGAAAGCUCCUGGCUUAACUGGGAGAGGUUGUUCGAAACUGCGAUGCUUGAGGUUGGGAGAGGGACGUGGAAUUCCCGGUGUAGUGGUGGAAUGCGUAGAUAUCGGGAGGAACACCAGUGGCGCAAGCGGCGUCCUGGCCCACACCUGACGCUGAGGUGCGAAAGCGUGGGGAGCAAACAGGAUUAGAUA
rnacentral:rRNA from 1 species